CAGCCGCCGCGGUAAUACGAGGGGGGCAAGCGUUGUUCGGAAUUAUUGGGCGUAAAGGGUGCGUAGGCGGUUUGACAAGUCUUAUGUGAAAUCUAUGGGCUCAACCCAUAGUCUGCAUAGGAAACUGUCGGGCUUGAGAGUGGGAGAGGUGAGUGGAAUUUCCGGUGUAGCGGUGAAAUUCGUAGAUAUCGGAAGGAACACCAGUGGCGAAAGCGACUUCCUGGUCGAAUACUGACGUUCAUGUGCGAAAGCCAGGGGAGCGAACGGGAUUAGAUACCCCCGUAGUCCCUGUCUCUUAUAU
rnacentral:rRNA from 1 species